rnacentral:rRNA from 1 species
CACGCCGUAAACGAUGGAUACUAGGUGUAGGGGGUAUCGACCCCCCCUGUGCCGGAGUUAACGCAAUAAGUAUCCCGCCUGGGGAGUACGGCCGCAAGGCUGAAACUCAAAGGAAUUGACGGGGGCCCGCACAAGCAGCGGAGCAUGUGGUUUAAUUCGAAGCAACGCGAAGAACCUUACCAGGGCUUGACAUCCCUCUGACUGGUAUAGAGAUAUACCUUCUCUUCGGAGCAGAGGAGACAGGUGG